CUCAUAUGCACACACUCACACACAAAGAUCAUCUCGUUUCUUUUACUAAUGUUUCAGGACCUGUAGACAGCCUAGCAGGGCAGGUAGAAGGACCAGCAAACUCAGGAAGAAGAGGUUUCCAUCCACAACAGAACAGCUAUACAAUAUCCUUCAGAUCAGAAAUGGUAACUUGGGUCACAGGACCAAUGCAGGAGGGCCACUUCUUGAGACCCACAGAGUUGGGAGGCUGUUGCACUUUCUGCAGCACCUCAGACCCUUCUGGAUUCAAGGAAAGUGGAUAACCCUCUUCUGAUGUCUUCACGUGGAGACACUUGCUCCCAGCAUCUUGGGAUACACGUGUGGGUGGAUUUCAUAGCAGCAGCAACUGUUGAAUGUGACCCCAUAGGAGCACCUUGUAUUUGAAAAGACUUCACAGUUGUGUGCAAGAAGAUAAGGUGGGUCGGUUUUUUUGGUUUGCCAGUUGUAGGGCUGAUGCUGUGGUACAGUCCCAUUCGAGAUGACAGGAGUGUUGCCUGAAUUAACAAAUGAACAAAACAAAUGAAUGAACAAAACCAGCAGUAUUUGACUCAAAAACAGUGUGAGUAUUUUUCAUGGAUCACCUUAACUUGCUAUGUACAGAACAAAAUAUAUGAUAAAUACUGCUGUCCCCACUUUCCCAGCUUCAACCAUUUUAGGAGUGAAUGAUAAAACCCAGCUCAUUUAUGUAGCUGUGCUGUUACCUCCCUGCAAACAGUAUCCUGAGGUAAUCUGUCUCUCAUAAUCUAGAGCAGUCUAUGGGUCCCACAAAGUAGUGAGCACUCAACUCCUUGUGGUAGGUACUUAGUACCUCAAAAGAUGAGGCCUGAUCCAGAACCUUUUUGGAGUUACUGGGAAGACUCCCUUUGACCAUACAUUGCAAACUCCAUGGAGCAGAGAACAUAGCUACAAUUUUCAAAACUACAUAAGCCACAUUUAAAAAAAAAUAAGUGGGACUUAGGCUCCUAAACCACUUGGGUAUUUUUGAAAAUAUUUUCUCAGGCCUUUCUGUAUGGUCUGUGCAACAGAGAGCACACAGAUGGUGCUCAACCAAUAAAAAAAAAAAAAGAGGAGAACCCAUUUCUGAGGAGAAAAAUCUCUCAGUAUGUGAGAAUGAUAAUUUUAUGCUUUACUAUUUCUUGUGUCAAGCUUUUUGUAAGCAUCCCUUUCUACUAUAGUAUUUUCCUAA